UAAAACACACAGUUAAGUAUCAUUUGAACAAUACAUUAAUAACUAAACUAGAUGACCUAUCUGGAUGUAGUCCAGCCUGAACAAAGACAGCAGUUCAAGUUGAAACUGAAAGCCGGUAUUUACUAUAUGAACUGGAAAGAAACAUUUUUCAAAGAGCAGCUGAAGAAGCUGACAAAUUAAAUUACAUGAAUGUGUCUAAUCUGGGAAGAAGGAAGUUCUGCUUCAGAUACAUGCUUUAUGCAACAGAGCCGUUUACUUUAUUUGUAAACCCUUCAAAACACUGUCCAAAGUUCACUCUUUGUUCAAGCUAAGAAGUGAAUCCUCAUUUUUCUGAAGUCAGUGGAUGGUUUCAGACUGAUUUCAACAGGGAGAAGAUUUCACGUGUGAUUAGAGAGACACAGCUGAGGUUUCAAAAGGGCAGAUGGGUCUGGCAGACCCUGCUGGCUGCCGGGAGGUGAUGGAGGUACGGGGACCAUACUCUCUUGAGUUUACCAUGCUAUUGAAAGACAGGAGUAAUCUUAAAAGUCUUGCUAAUGAGUUCGGAAACACAGAAAUACCACACCCUUCAUUUGAUUUAUUUCAGUCAUGGAAUAGAUUUGUAUGUGAUGAAGAGCAACGUAGAUGGUGUCCUAGGACAAAGACUUUCUGGAUCCAGCCUGCAUUAAAUGGAUAUGUAUGUGACCUUAGCCUUUAUUAAAUAAACAAAAAAAUUGGCUUAUUAUUCUUAAAUCUUAAAAAUACUAUUUCAGCAUCUACGUAUGCUCUUGGCAUACAAACAUCUGUAUAUGCAGAGCUGGAUUUUUUCCCAUAUAGCAUAGAAAUUACAAUAUUUCUAGCAGGAUGUCACAGUCUUCCCCAUAGUUCUGUCUAUGGCAAGGAGCAGAUGGCUGAGGUCCACAUCCCUCCUCAGUUCUCACUUGGUGCCAUUGUAAACCCAAGCGAACAAGAUCUUAAUUGCUGGUGUCAGCCACUGCUGUGCCUCCGCAUUAGAGGUGGGCAUUUGCAGUGGUGUGCAUAAAUUUUAAUACCAGUACAGAUUUAAUACAACCAUGUUAAUUUAUUUUACUUCAUGUAAUGAAAUAGGUAAAAUCUUGCUAGAAGUACCGGAUUGAACUAUGGUGUCAUAAAUGUAAGAACGGUUUCACAGGCAGUGAAGGUUCUUAUCUUCAAUCUAUAUCAGGUUUCCAGCAAUUGCUCACCCUCUGACCUGAUCAAACCUCACCCUUUGUUUAAACGUUUUUUGGUUUAUUUAUUUUUUUUUUGUUUGUUCUCAAUUCUCCUCGAUAAUGUAUAUACAUAGACAUCAUACACA